rnacentral:rRNA from 1 species
UACGUAGGUGACCAGCGUUGUCCGGAUUUACUGGGCGUAAAGAGCGCGCAGGCGGUCGUUCAAGUCGAGUGUGAAAGCCCCCGGCUCAACUGGGGAGGGUCACUCGAUACUGAUCGACUUGAAGGCAGGAGAGGGAAGCGGAAUUCCCGGUGUAGUGGUGAAAUGCGUAGAUAUCGGGAGGAACACCAGUGGCGAAGGCGACUACCUGGCCUGUUUCUUGACGCUGAGGCGCGAAAGCUAGGGGAGCAAACGGG